rnacentral:rRNA from 1 species
GUUGGUUUCUCCUGGAGCAUAGGUAAUAGCAAAAGGGUUAGAUUCUGGGAGGACCAUUGGUUUGGCAAUGCUACCUUAGCUACCCAAUAUUAGGAUAUUUACAUUCUAACUAACGAGCACAAUUUCACUAUUGGCACAGUCUGGGAUGGUAAUAAGCUUAAGCUCACUUUAAGGACAUGUUCCACUCAAUAA